GCCGGGGUGGCGGAACGGGAGACGCGGCGGACUCAAAAUCCGCUGGCCCUCGCGGCCGUGUGGGUUCGAAUCCCACCCCCGGCA
rnacentral:tRNA from 1 species